UGGGGAAUUUUGGACAAUGGGCGCAAGCCUGAUCCAGCCAUGCCGCGUGCAGGAUGAAGGCCUUCGGGUUGUAAACUGCUUUUGUACGGAACGAAAAGGUGCCUUCUAAUAAAGGGCGCUCAUGACGGUACCGUAAGAAUAAGCACCGGCUAACUACGUGCCAGCAGCCGCGGUAAUACGUAGGGUGCGAGCGUUAAUCGGAAUUACUGGGCGUAAAGCGUGCGCAGGCGGUUUUGUAAGACAGAGGUGAAAUCCCCGGGCUCAACCUGGGAACUGCCUUUGUGACUGCAAGGCUGGAGUGCGGCAGAGGGGGAUGGAAUUCCGCGUGUAGCAGUGAAAUGCGUAGAUAUGCGGAGGAACACCGAUGGCGAAGGCAAUCCCCUGGCCUGCACUGACGCUCAUGCACGAAAGCGUGGGGAGCAAACA
rnacentral:rRNA from 1 species